AAAGAAGCGCUUUCUUUUUGUCGUCGACAGUGGCGAUGAAGACGAUGGGUUCUCAUAAGUAGAUUUGGUGGGUGGCGAAUCUGCUGGAGGGAAGGCGGAGGGUGAAGAGGAGAUGGGCGCAGAAGAAACACGAGGAAGUGGAGGGAAAGGAGGAGGAGGAGGAGCAGGAGGGGGAGGAGAAAUGGUGUAAUUUUUGCCCAAAGAGU
rnacentral:lncRNA from 1 species